AUUGAACGCUGGCGGCAGGCCUAACACAUGCAAGUCGAGCGGAUGAAGGGAGCUUGCUCCUGGAUGCAGCGGCGGACGGGUGAGUAAUGCCUAUGAAUCUGCCUGGUAGUGGGGGAUAACGUCCGUAAACGGGCGCUAAUACCGCAUACGUCCUGAGGGAGAAAGUGGGGGAUCUUCGGACCUCACGCUAUCAGAUGAGCCUAGGUCGGAUUAGCUAGUUGGUGGGGUAAAGGCCUACCAAGGCGACGAUCCGUAACUGGUCUGAGAGGAUGAUCAGUCACACUGGAACUGAGACACGGUCCAGACUCCUACGGGAGGCAGCAGUGGGGAAUAUUGGACAAUGGGCGAAAGCCUGAUCCAGCAAUGCCGCGUGUGUGAAGAAGGUCUUCGGAUUGUAAAGCAAUUUAAGUUGGGAGGAAGGGCAGUAAGUUAAUACCUUGCUGUUUUGACGUUACCAACAGAAUAAGCACCGGCUAACUUCGUG
rnacentral:rRNA from 1 species